GUAUCCGUAGCUCAAUUGGAUAGAGUGUUGGCCUCCGACGCCAAAGGUUGCGAGUUCGAACCUCGCCGGGUGCACCA
rnacentral:tRNA from 1 species